CAUUGACCCCUUAUUCUGGCUAAACAGCCAUUUGGGAGGGAGAUAAAAGAGAAGGAAGCUGGCCUUCUGCCUUUGUAUAAAAAAAAGGAAGAAAUAAAUGGUCCAUGGGAAAGUUCAGUGAGACUUGGGUAGGGUUUGAGUUGGAUUGCUGAAGAGAUAGCCUUGAUCUGAACCUUCCACACAUGGGAAUCAGGAGUUGAAAUCCUCUCAGAUUCAUCUGGACUUCACUGCUUGCUGUGGUUCCUGGAAGUCACAGAGUUUAUACAAUCAAUUUCUUCAUUCCAAAAGCCAGUUGUUGGGAAAGUUGUUCUACUGAGAGCUCAUGGCUUUUACUCUUUUUGUCCUGAAGAAAAUGGUCUGAAGAAACAAAGGAAAGACAAGUAUUGUCUCUUCAGCUAAGUGUAAAUGCCUCCAUGCUUUGGAUAUCUAUAAUGGAGUUUGUGUCUGACAUUGAUAAUUGGGAAAGAAGAGCUUCUAGUUGAGACUUCAUCAUCUCAGACUUUCCACUAGUAUUACUCUGAAUACCAUUCCCUGAGAGUGACUCUUCAGAUUUCUCUGUCAAUGGGUUUGAUUAGCUGGUCAAGAAUUUAGAAUCCACAAAUGACGAAGCCAAAUAAACUACAUCCUAUCCUUAUGAACCUAUUGAAGUGGAAGAUUCACUGUACCGCAAGCCACUUUGCUCCCGUCCCAUGUCAUGAACCUUAUGUUUGGACUGAAGAAAGAAUCAUGGUAAAACAUCCAAAACCCUCAAGUCUGGCCAUGGAAACACAGGAAGCUGGUUUCAACCCACGGAGUGCAAGCUGAGCAACCGCAUCUGGAUACCAGUCAAUAAUCUUAGCAGGAGAUGCAUUGAGAUGGAUCCACAAUAAAGGCCCAUUCUGCCACAAGACAGCAGUUGGUAAUUGUAUAGUUUUGAAAACACAUAAAUCAAAAGGCUUGGUU